rnacentral:rRNA from 1 species
CCUACGGGUGGCAGCAGUGAGGAAUAUUGGUCAAUGGGCGGGAGCCUGAACCAGCCAAGUAGCGUGAAGGAUGACUGCCCUAUGGGUCGUAAACUUCUUUUAUAAGGGAAUAAAGUGCGGGACGUGUCCCGUUUUGUAUGUACCUUAUGAAUAAGGAUCGGCUAACUCCGUGCCAGCAGCCGCGGUAAUACGGAGGAUCCGAGCGUUAUCCGGAUUUAUUGGGUUUAAAGGGUGCGUAGGCGGCCUUUUAAGUCAGCGGUGAAAGUCUGUGGCUCAACCAUAGAAUUGCCGUUGAAACUGGGAGGCUUGAGUAUGUGUGAGGCAGGCGGAAUGCGUGGUGUAGCGGUGAAAUGCUUAGAUAUCACGCAGAACCCCGAUUGCGAAGGUAGCAUACCGGCGCGCAACUGACGCUCAUGCACGAAAGCGUGGGUAUCGAACAGGAUUAGAUACCCGAGUAGUC